UGGGACUUUCAUAGUGUAUUACAACAACAAAGAAGUUACUUCAAACAACGAUCACUGUUUUUUUUUCUCUCUGACAUCAUUGCACAUAAUGGCAUGCGCGAUAGAACAGAAGAGUAUGAACAAAACGUUUUUAUUUUUUUUACCAUGAUGCUGGAUUCUCCUCUGUUUCUUCAACAAAAACCAAACAAAAAAGAAUGCAACGGAGUGAACAGUGGCACUGUUUCACCGUGGGGGGAAUUCAGACCCAGGAUACAGACACGGCAAUGGCCAGCCCCAGCAUCGUAUUCACCACAGCAUCAUACGGAUGUGAUAGCCAUGGAGGUCUGCAACAAAGCCCUAAAGAGGAGGAAGGGAUUCCAAAUUGGGUCAAGUUCUCUAUGGAGAUUGGUGGUGAUAGAUGAAUCCAAGUUCUCGCACAAGAGAAAGUACAAUCGUCGAAGGAUGGUGCCAACAUGGAGAAGACAGGGUUGGGUGUUUGGGGUGAUGGAGGUCAAACACAACAGACGGUGCCCAGUUCUUAAAAUGGUGGAAAACCGUUCACAGGAAACCUUAAUCCCUAUCAUCAGACGACAUUUGCGAAGAGGUUCCACCACCCAAAGUGACUGCUGGAGAGCGUAUGUCAGGUCUAUGAAUAGGGUGGGUUACAAUCACCAGACAGUCAACCACACAAACAACUUUGUGGAUCCUCACACAGGAUGUCACACACAACAUGUUGAAAGAGGGUGCCAGACAAUAAAGGGGCAGGUCUGGAGGCUAAGGGGCAAUCAGACCAAAAAAAGUUUAAAGAAGCAUCUCCAUUUUAUUAAGUGAUGUACUGGUUGGGUAAAAAAAAGGAGUACUCUCCACUCUUCAAAGACAUCCGAUUAGUAUAGUAGCUGUGAGAUUUUCACUCUCAACAUGCACCCCCUAGAGGAAAUGGAGCCGGGAGUACCCGGUGCCGGGUACUUUGCUGCCUCAAUUUAAAUAGCGGUCCAUACCGGCCCUUUAAAUACACGCAACCCCUGCAGGCUCUAUUUUGAUGAAAACAACAGAAUCUCAACAUUUCAUUUAUAUCAACCAAUACGAUGUCUUUG
rnacentral:lncRNA from 1 species